CACAAUCAAGCACAUCCUGUAUAGAGUGAGACACCAUGAGGAUCGGACAAACCAAAUCAUCUCUCUUACCUGAGAAACACUGGAUCCAUUGCCUGAUACUCUUCAUAACACUUAUAACAGGGGCUUUAACAGAUGAAUAUGUGAUUAAGUCUGUCUUGGGUUGGAGUGCAUCUUUUAGUUUUAAGGUUACAGGAAACACAAAGGUAAUCCAGGCAGAAUUAAGCAGGUGUCCAAAUCAGAAGGUUUUUGUGUUCAGCCCUAAGUUUGGACUCACUAUCUUGGACAGCAACUAUACUAAACGUAUUUCUGUGGAAUCAAAUCUCAGCUUUAUACUGGAAAGAGUACAAGAGAGCGACUUUGGGACUUACUGCUAUAAACUGGCCACUUUCCCAGACGGAGUCUGAAUGGAAAAAUUACGCUGGUGAAAGAGACAAAAAAUGGUCACUCAGCUCUCUCAAAGCCCUCUGGUCUCCCCAUCACGAUGAUAAUCUCCUUGACCUGUGGCAUAGGAUUUGCAGUACUAUGUGGAAUCAUCGCUGGAGUGGUUUGCUAUAGGAAGAGGAGAAGUAAGUUGCAAACCCUAAUGCACAUUGCAUUGCAUCCUGGAAGCCUUCCUCACAGUCAAACUUCUGUCGUGCAGAAAAAUCAAGACCAGCCCAGUAGCCCACGCAGACAGAGUGAAGAAGAGGCAGAGUAUGAUGACAACAAUUACCUAAAUGUUCCUUAACCUUGCCAACUGUACCUGUACUGGAUACUGGAUGCCUGUACUGGAUGGCUUUUUAUUUACUAAAUUAAUCACUGAAUUCUGACAAACAGUGAUUCUAAAAAACUGUGAAACAUUCACACAAACUGUGAAUGUUUGUGGACCAGUUGACACACACUCUCACACACACACACACACACACACACACACACACACACACACACACACACACACACACACACACACACACACACACACACACACACACACAC